CUUCGGUCGAUUUAAUUUAAUUCUAGUGGCGGACGGGUGAGUAACGCGUGGGUAACCUGCCUUAUACAGGGGGAUAACAGUCAGAAAUGGCUGCUAAUACCGCAUAAGCGCACAGAGCUGCAUGGCUCAGUGUGAAAAACUCCGGUGGUAUAAGAUGGACCCGCGUUGGAUUAGCUAGUUGGUGGGGUAACGGCCCACCAAGGCGACGAUCCAUAGCCGGCCUGAGAGGGUGAACGGCCACAUUGGGACUGAGACACGGCCCAGACUCCUACGGGAGGCAGCAGUGGGGAAUAUUGCACAAUGGGGGAAACCCUGAUGCAGCGACGCCGCGUGAAGGAAGAAGUAUCUCGGUAUGUAAACUUCUAUCAGCAGGGAAGAUAGUGACGGUACCUGACUAAGAAGCCCCGGCUAACUACGUGCCAGCAGCCGCGGUAAUACGUAGGGGGCAAGCGUUAUCCGGAUUUACUGGGUGUAAAGGGAGCGUAGACGGUGUGGCAAGUCUGAUGUGAAAGGCAUGGGCUCAACCUGUGGACUGCAUUGGAAACUGUCAUACUUGAGUGCCGGAGGGGUAAGCGGAAUUCCUAGUGUAGCGGUGAAAUGCGUAGAUAUUAGGAGGAACACCAGUGGCGAAGGCGGCUUACUGGACGGUAACUGACGUUGAGGCU
rnacentral:rRNA from 1 species